rnacentral:lncRNA from 1 species
CAGGUUGAGGCAAACCGCCACACGAGCGAUGGUGCUGUCACCGGAGCGAGGCAGUGCCGUCGUGCCAAAAUUCUAAAAUUGGUUGGAAAAGAUUUUUAACACAAAUUUUUUAUUUUUUGGGGUAGUUUUCGGUACGUGAAGUGUGUUUUAAUCUCUAUAGGAAAAUUCAAAAACCUAGGGACCGCUAGUAGGUGUAGUAGAAAGUUCAGUGUUUUGGACACCGAUUCGGGUAAGAGUCCCUCACCUUAUUUCUUGUUAUGAAAUAUAAGCUUAAUAAUCAGUAAUACGG